UCAUAAAUAUGGGCAGUGGGAGACGAGAGGAGGAGCCUCCCUGAUCCACUCCCAAAAUCUGCACAAAUUUACUGGAAACAGGAAUACAAUUUGGUUCAAGUUGCACCAAAGAUAUUUUUUCUCUCAAAAGUGAUCAGAGUUGUCCAAGUUAUCACAAACCCUCUGAAGCUGCUAAUUGCUUACAAGUACAAUAGCAGAUCUUUGGGCAUUAGGAAGAUUAGUUUUAAUGUGAAAUGACAGUAAUACAGUUUAAGGCCCAUGAUGCCGAGACCUCACUGGCGGGUAGGUCUGCUAGGGAACGAGCAGGUAAGGAUCUGAUACAAGGGCAAUGCUAUCAUAGUACCUAGUAAGACAGGAGAUUCCAAGCAGGCGCACGUGUUGGUCAGCUGCCUCAAUGCUGUUUCACUCUUACUCUUUGCUAGUUUGUUGAUGACAGAAACUUGGGAGGAGACAGCCCCAAAGGAAGAAGAUGUCUGUGAUACACCAAAAUUUAGCUAUCAUGAGCUAGGAAAGUACACACUUGCUAGGAAGCUUCAACACUGACAAAACACCAAAGGGCACACACAGCCAAGGCUGUUAAUGUCAUAAUAGCCCACAGCUGUGUGGAGAAUAAAACACUUUCUGAAGUCAAACUGCCACUGUCUUCAACUCAUGUUGAACCUACAGUUAUACAAUAUUAAGAUUCUCUGUCAAAAUUUUCACUUGUGCCUAAGCCUUUCUCAGGUAUCUUGAGACAGCUCCCUUUGACUUUCUUGUGCAUCAGGACCUAUUGAUUUCUAGAUGUACGUCCACUGUGAUGGCCAGAGAAGCUCCAUUUAUGCUGGACCUUCGGCUUGAUACCCACCAGCCAUUCGCCUCUGACUCCAGUCCUUAGGAGACAAGUUCCCAGAAACCAUGGCUCAAUGACCCCUAUCCAAAAAUGUAAAGCCAUGACCAUCUUCUUCGUUAUGAUAGGACUUUUUGGCUUCCACUCAAGGACUCUAGUGAGGUGGAGUAUCUAAUCUUAGCAAAGCAAAAUAUUUCUUGGCUUGCCUAUAUAGAUGCUUACGAUCUUUUUUUUUUUUUUUUUUUUUUGGUUUUCACCUUUAUCAACUCUUCCCUCAAAUUUGGCUCAGAGAUUGUUCUGUUAGUAGUAUCAAUAAAGUGAACUAAUUAUAAGCCCAAUUGAGUCUAUAGUCUUUUCCUGCAGAUCAUGAACUCCAGAAUACUAGUACAAGACUGUUUCGAUUUAAAAUAGUUACAGCCAUGGUAGAACGUACCUGUAAUCCAGCACCCAGGAAGCUGAAGUAAGAGCAUUGCUAGGAGCUAGAGGUGCCCGUGCUACAUUGUGGAUACCAGACCAGCCAAGGCUACAUGGCAAGACACCGUCUCAAAAAUAAUAGAUAAUCGAAGGAACUGCGUUUCACAAAUGUUUCCAGAGUGUGUUGGUGUCACCUCUGAAAUUGAUUCACCACCAAAGAGCAAGUCCUGUGGUGGAAGAAUGGCUGCUUAGCACAAACAGGUCAGAGACCAUGACAGAAUGAGCAAGGAUGAGAAACUGUGACCAUACUGAAAGGACCUAUGAUUCCAUGAUUAAAC
ensembl:lncRNA